UACGUAGGGUGCAAGCGUUGUCCGGAAUUAUUGGGCGUAAAGAGCUUGUAGGCGGUUUGUCGCGUCUGCCGUGAAAAUUCGAGGCUCAACCUCGAACUUGCGGUGGGUACGGGCAGACUAGAGUGUGGUAGGGGAGACUGGAAUUCCUGGUGUAGCGGUGAAAUGCGCAGAUAUCAGGAGGAACACCGAUGGCGAAGGCAGGUCUCUGGGCCACUACUGACGCUGAGAAGCGAAAGCAUGGGGAGCGAACGGG
rnacentral:rRNA from 1 species